UGCAGUUCACACUAAAGACAACUUUACCCCACUGCUACCUUUGACCUUGUAUAUAAACAGACCUGGGUUCCAGUAACGGAUGAUAACUGGAAGGAAAUCAAAGAAGGUAAGAGAGCAGGAGAAAACCCAGAGGUGACACGAUGGAAUUAAGGUACGAGAGGUGAGGAAAUAAAAACAUGUGAAAAAGGUAGAGGGCAGAUGGUGCAAGAGUCAGAAAAACAGAUCUGGAGUGGAAGAAAGGUGUGAGAGUAGGAUGAGUGAGCAGAUGUAGGGUCCUUCCUGAUUGGUUGUACUUUAUCAGAACUGUCUUUAGCUUUCAAAGGUAAUACAGAAGUCCAGAUUAUUAUUUUUAAAUGUUUAAAUGACGGUCUAAUUAUAAGCCUUUCCCCAGUUAGUAUUUCAAUUAUAUUUUAAGCUAAUAUGAUUAACUUGUGUACAAAACAUAAUUAUGCUAAAAGUCGAGGGUCAGUGAAGUCAGACUAAGGGAUUGCUGUUUUCCUGUCAUGUUACAAACCACAGGAAACAAUUAACAGGUGGCGUCAGAAGCCUAAGUAACAGAAAACACAGUGAACUGGUUUUAUCAUCAACACUAAACAGCUUAGCCAGAAUUAAGAGCUUUGGAGUCUGGCCAACAUGAGGAUUUCAAGUGAUGUAACAGUAUGAGGCAGUAGUUCUGUGAAGAGGUGAAUUUGUUCCCUCGUUUACCAUCUAGGUACUAGUUAUGCACACUAGUUCAGACAUUUUAACUAACUAGUCUGGGACAAGAGAUUUUAUCUGUGCCAAGAGAAAGUCACGACACUGAUUAAAAGUCCAUUUAUGCAUAUUUUAGUUAUAUUUGAUUGAUCUUGUCUGGCCAAAGUACAGCAUGUUACCACAACUGAACACUUAAACUUGAUUAUACGUGUUUGAUGCCAGUGUUUCUAAUAAGGUGGUGGGAAAGUUUCUCAGAGUGAUGAAGAUGGCAUCACUAAAGACACCCACCACCUGGAACCAGCAACCGUUUGUUUACUAAACAUCCUUAGUAGGAUUUACACAUGGAAUGAUCCAGAAGAGGAACAUUAUUCUCCUGCAAGUCUUUCACCAGAAUGGGGGGUUGCAGACAGCAGCAUUGCAGUCACACAGAGGAGAGAAAGAGGCCUGCUGCAGCACGUACACUCAGCCAGCAGCAGCUGGAAGCCCUGCAUAACCAGUACCGCUGCUCCUUUGAAGGGAGAAAACAUCUGAGAUUGCCUUGAUACGUUGGAAUUCAACAGGACCGUCCAGACCAAGUACGGGUUGCAAGGUUUUCUUUCCUACCAGAGACCACUGCAAAUGUAUUGAUUAAACGAGUGAACCACACCUUUAAUGUUAUGUUAGCAAUGUCUCUAAUAAUAAAUCUCUUUUAAAAACAUACUAAAAACGGCCCGGAUAUGGUGUAGAAAUCAAAGCAUCCAAACAUGCUGUGGGUAUCGAGAUAAUCUGGUGACAAGGAGCUGCUGAGUAAUCCACAGCCAUGAUUUCCUCCUAAAGCUGGCUGGAUUGUUUCCAGCACCAACGCCAAACUUCCUGACCAACUUGUCUUAUGUAAGGAGCUCUAAAACAAAAGGUGAACCAAAGGUGAUCUGCCUUCCCUUUGCUAACCAUCAAACACACAGACUGCACUAUUGUCACAGACUGUGUUGUGUUAGUGUGUGCCACAUUGGUGGAGCCUUUCCUAUACGUUUGAGAAAAACUUUCAAACCGAGACAUUUUGCUAAUUUAAAUGACUGUCAGUUUGCAGUACUGAAAUCAGAACUAAAUCUAAACUGGUGGAGCAGCACAGCCAGUUUAUCCAACCUGAUUAGAUCCUCAGGCUCACUUCAGAAAGUUAGCCCUUUUGUACUUCUAAGUUUUCUUAGGGGGGGGCAGCAGUGGCUCAGGUGGUAGAGCGGGUUGCCUCAUGAUCGGUGGGUCAGGGGUUCGAUUCCAGCUCCCACCAGGGGUAUCCUGCUGUUGUGUCCUUGGGCAAGACACUUCACCCAACUUCCCUGUGUUAGUGGUGGUCAGAGGGGCCGACGGCGCCAAAUGGCAGCCUCGCCUCUGUUAGACCUCCCCAGGGCGGCUGUGGCUACAAGUAGCUUACCAUCACUAGCAGUGUGUGAAUGUGAGUGUGUGAAAGCGUCUUUGGGUGUCUAGAAAAGCGCUAUAUAAGUUCAAUGCAUUAUUAUUAUUAUUGAUUACUGUUUCUUUACAGACAGGUGUGUGUUCUUCAAAUGAACAAAACAAAGUUAAAUCUGAAGGAACACUGAAGAGCACACCCAUCAUUCAACAACAGCCAAUGAGAGAGAAGAUGAACUCACAGCUGCAUCACCAGGAGCCCAGCUGAGCAUCUAACACUUAUUACAGCGCAUAUGAUCUCUAUGACAGCAGGAGCUCUGAUGCUUGGAGUUAGAUCUGGGAAAACAUCAGAUGAUGCUGCACCACAGAAUGUACUAGGAAUGGGCGACAUGGCCUAAAAUCUAUCCUAAAGUGUGUAAGUAUGAGCGGUGUAGCUAAUCCCAACAAACACAUGAACAAGGUUUUGCUUUAGGAGUCUAUUAAAAACAAAUUCCCAAAAUCUCAUUUGUAUGUGCAGAUAUAACAAUUUUAUGACUGAUAAGCAUCCUUAUGACAUCACAAACAGAUUUACAGAAAGAUUUAUUUUCUUCAUCUGUUUAGAAUAAAGUUUUGUUGCAGUUAGUCUCUCACUAGAUAUUAAUAUCCAUCUGUGCAGAAAUGUUGUUUAGUGCAAUAAACUCUGAAGUCCUCUUUACAUCCAUCUUGGUUUUCAAGUAAUUCUGAGUAAAAGUGUGCAAUAAAUCAAUUUAAUACUAAUCUACACACAAACACACGCACACAAGAAUGAGCUGCCAUCCUUAAGGGUGUGUCUCACAGUAUCUCAAAAAGACAAAAUACACACAAAAGGCCGACACAUGCAGGUAACGUAUGAUUUGUGCCAAACACCAGACAGUUGGUAUAGUUUUACACAUCAACGUACAGGCAUUUGCACGUCUGAUGCAGUAGCGGUUUUACCAUUAGGCAUAGGUCGGCGGCCGCCUGGGGCCCUCAUAUGUUGGGGGGCCCCCUAGCCCUGAGUGCUGGCACCCUUCUGUUAAUGCCACAAUGGACUAUUCCUUUAAGAUGCCGAUGCACAAACAGGAAGUGAUUGGUAGUCAUUCUACCCCAAUCCAGUUGGUGGCAGUAAUGCACCAAAUUGUUGUUUGCCAAGUGCCAUAAGACCACAAAUAAUAAUAAUAAGAGAAAGCAGAAAAAGAAGAUGAGAGGCGGGAGCGUUGGUAACAAACUUGAAGCGGUAGUCAAAACAUCAGGGGCGGCUGGUCCAUAGGGGCGAUUGGGGUGACGCCCUCCCAAGAAAAAAGGAGGUUGUUUUUUUUCAUGUGCUUCUCAUCAUUGCUGUUCAGGUCCACCAUUGUGGUUUGCUUGUCUGUGUUGUCCAACCAGUUUGAGUCCUCCCUGCUGGGAGUUCCACCCUUAUGGGGCGAUAAUGUAAAUGCUUUCCCCCGACUUCCCGGAGCAACAACGCAGCUUCUAGGGGCUGGCGGGACGUCUCCCUAUAUGCCUACUUCACGAGUUACACCCAGGUAACUGGGUAAUUACAGGUAGCGUUAAGGGCACGCACAGAGCGGCAAACCAUUUCCAUCAUGGCGAGCUACCAGAGCAACACUGUUGUCUCUUUGAAAGAGUUUCCAUUUAUUCGUUGUACCAACACGGAUAAAAUGGCAACAAAACUGUUAGGACCACCAAGACCAAAUCUCAACAUCAUACAAGCAGCAGUUAAAGGCGGGAAAUCCCACAAUCGAGGAUUUCCGAGAAGGUGGUAUGACCAGACGAGCUGGCUCGCGGGCUGAGACAACAGGGUCGCUGUUCUGCUUCCCAUGCCUGCAAGUUCAACCCAGAUUGCGCCACGGCGGCCCACAGCUUGUGAUGACCACAGGAGUCACCGACAUGCACCAUCUGGCUGGGAAGGUGAAGAGAUAAAGUUUUCUACGUUCGGAUGAGUUAAUAUCGCCGAAGAGCUAGACAGCAGCUACCACCUGGCAGUCCGCUGCCAUAACAAAGAGGUGAGCAGGAACCAACAUCUCCUUAAUCGCCUCAUAGACUGCGUCAGAUUUUGUGGCAUGUUCGAAUAAGCCUUGCGGGGAAAAGAUGAAAGCGAAGGCUUAAAGAAUGCAGGCAUUUUUCGGGGAUUAGUGGACUUGGCAUCAUUGGAUGAGGUGUUUGAGGAGCACCUGAAAGUAGUGACCGUUUUCAAGGGCACGUCAAAAACUGCUCAGAAAGAGCUGCUGGACAGCAUGCUGGCGGUCGUUAGGAAGCGCAUUAGUGAGGACGUUGUGGCAGCUAGAUUUGUUGCCAUCCAAGCUGAUGAGACCACCGAUGUGUCAACACACACCUCUCAUUGAUGGACUGCAGAAGCUUGUUUGACAUCUUUUGCCACAUCAGAGGGAACUCGUCUUCUUCCUCCGAACCAUGGUCCACCAGCAAAGCCGAACCCUUUUUUCUAGGGCUGCUGCAGCUAACGUUAGCCAUGGCCGCUCUUUUGGCCCCACGUGUGCUCCUGGACGUUUUCUUCCUGGUUCUCAGUAACGGUGUAAGUAGAAAGUGACACAGGAUCACUUCUUUCGUGAUAAAAGAGCGUUAGUAGUUCAAAAAGGCAAUUUAAGUAAGAUAAUAGUUGUGCCGCGAGGAGCUGCAAAAAAACGUGUCUACUCUUCACCCAUCUCACUAGUGCCCUCCAACUCAUCUGGUUCUUUGAUGGCAACACAAUGAGAGAGGCAUGUGAGUUUCUCAGGAUGAUGCAGGACGAGGAUUUCCAGUUUUUUUUUUUUUUUGCUGCUGUUUAGUAAAAUUAGGCCUCACGUGGACAUCCUGUACAAGAAACUGCAGAAGGAGGACAUCGAUGCAGUCUUUAUCAAGCACGCCGUCCAGAUCUUCAUGAGCAGUGUUGAGGCAAUAAGGUAAAAUUAUUAUUAUUAUUUGUUAUUUGACAUGCGUAUUGUUUAAAAUUAAGGUGUGGUGUGUGUGGACCACAAAAAAGGUAGUAAGUGAUCAAACCUAAAUAAAUACUAUGAAUUUGUUCUAUUAAUAAUUUCACUUGGACAAAGUCAAUUAUAUUUCUUGUAACCUAUUAACGUAAUUAAUUGAAGUUGGAUCACCAGUUCCCUUUUACAAUGUGAGGCAAGUGAAUGGAAACCACAGACUGACCUUUGUACCUGACCUUUAGCCGAUAGACAGGUGCACCCCUAGUUGUUUACAAACUGAGCUUUCUACUUUUGAGAGGUGGUAAAAUUUUACUUAGGGGUGGAGUAGCCCUUUAAACUAACCAGAAUUAUAACCAAAGCACAAAAUAAUCUGCAUUUUACCUGUCACUUGAUUGUCAUAUCAGACAGCCAUGUGACAUUUACAAAACACUUCAAAGUUAUUAUAAGCUAACUUUCCAUGUCGCUGUUUCACACUCAAGUCAGAGAAAUUUUAUUUUUGAUGCAUAAAACUUCUUAGUGUUGUCAUGUUCUUCUGUCUAAUUUUUUGUUUGCUCUGACAUUUGGAUUUACUAACAGGCAUUAUUGGUCUUUCCUCAGGCAGUCAUCUCAACAGCAGCAGCAGGAGGCCACAGAAACCACCACUAGAAGGAGAAGGCCUUGGGAGAGGACGAGAAGCAGAGGCUGUGGGAGAAGAUCUGCGACACCAUCCUGACUCACACCAGAGAGAGGUUCUCCUUCACCAACCACCUGGUCAGUGCCACACUGCUACAAGCAGAAAUGUUUGAGCAGCACUGCCACACAUUUCCCACGGGUGUUCUGAAUGCCACAGUGGAGGCAUACCCCAUGCUCAAACAAGAACAAACUGAAGACAGAACUAUCUCUGGUCUAUGAGAACCCUGAGUUCAGGAGCUGCUGCGGUGCGCUGGCGUUGUAUCAGCUUCUCAUGAGAUACAACCUCCAGGACACGUUUUCUGAGACUAUCGCUUUGAUGAGCAUCCUCAUCACAACCCCAAUGACGACAGCUGAGGCUGAGAGGUGCUUCUCAACUCUCAAAAGAAUUAAGACAUUUCUGAGAAAUUCAAUGGGCCAGGAACGCCUUAAUGCGCUGGCCAUGCUGUCCAUAGAGAGGGAGCUUGUCUGGUCCAUGCCUGACUUCAAUGAGAAGGUCAUAGAUCACUUUGCUGCUUUGAAAGACAGACGAGCAAAGUUUGAUUACAAAUGAACAGGUUCCAUAUGGCAUAAACUACUCGCUGUGAAACUUUUAUUUCUUUUACUCAAAAUGCAACAAACCAGAUUGUGAAAACUUAAUAGAUUGAUGAAACAAUUCACAGAAGCCUAUUUUCUUUUACAAAAAUGUACAGAUAGCUGAAAUCAGCUGAUUGUUUUUUAAAUAUACUUUCUCUAUUCUGUUGUGUUCAACUUGUUCGUUGAUCAUACAUUUUAUACUUACAGGCCUGUAUUCAUGAUAAAUUGUAUAUUAGUUUUCACAUUUGAUCUAAAUAUGACUAUUGCAUCACAUCAUUAAUCAAUUUUUUUUACCUUGAAUUUGGUUGCUGUUUUACACUUAAAGGGACUUUACGGCGUUUUGAAUUUUUAUGCUCGCGAUUGCCCCCUCAGGCCAAAAGCGUAACGGCAGCUUCAAUAGUAGGCUCGUGCACGAGGCGCGCAGGCUCCUCUCCUGUGGAACCAGCUCCCAGCUUUAGUUCGUGAGGCAGACACCUUGUCUACUUUUAAGACUAGGCUUAAAACAUUUUUAUUUGAUAGGGCCUAUGGUUAAAAUCUGAUGUUAGCCUAAAUCUGGACAAGUGGGGGAGUAGAGGGAGGUGGAGUGUACAGUCGGUAAAGACGGCUCUCCCUUGCCCUGCCUCCAACAUGCCUACAUCUAAAUAGGAUAGAUUAUCCAGAGUUAUCUCUGUAGUUGCUGCUAUAGGCUUAGACUGCUGAAGGAUACACUGACCACUUUUCACACUCUACUGCUUUAUUCUACAGUCUGCUCUUUAACUGUACUAUUUUGUGCAAUUUCAGCUGUUAACUUUAUUUUCUCUGUAAGUGUUUUUCUCCCCAGAAGAAGCUACAAUAACGUUCUGCUGAGCUGUGGUGGCCUCAUGGAGGGGGCCAUCGACUAGCACACUGCUGCUAACCACUAAUACAUUCUCUCUCUCCUGAUAAUAACUUUUGCUUUCAUUGACUUUUGAUGUACUACUAGUUAAUCCAUUUAAUUAUAGAUCCACUAGGAUAAAUACAAUAAAGUUUAUCUUUCACCAAAUACAAUAUUUACUAAGACAUCACAAUAUAACUAGACACAUUACUUGUCUUUGUGUGUGUGUGUGUGUGUGUGUGUGUGUGUGUGUGUGUGUGUGUGUGUGUGUGUGUGUGUGUGUGUGUGUGUGUGUGUGUGUGUGUGUGUGUGUGUGUGUGCCUGCUCUGUCUUCUCGAUCCCCAGUGAGUCGUGGAGGAUGGCUGCUUAUACUGAGCCAGGAUUCUCUGGAGGUUUCUUCCUGUUAAAAGGGAGUUUUCCUCUCCACUGUCGCUGCAUGCUUGCUUAGUAUGAGGAUUGCUGUAUAGUCACUGACACUAGUCAGUGACUUGAUGCAAUUUGCUGGGUUCCUUAUAUAGGAAACAUUAUUUCUGAUUGGCUUAAUGAACUGUGAAUUGGAAUGUUUAUUAUGUGAAGUGCCUUGAGACGACUCUUUUCGUGAUUUGGCGCUAUAUAAAUAAACUUGAAUUGAAUUGAACGAAAAUAACAGUUGAAACAGUCUCGUGUGUGUGUGUGUGUGUGUGUGUGUGUGUGUGUGUGUGUGUGUGUGUGUGUGUGUGGCCCGGCGGACAGAGGACAGAAGAACACGCAGCUAA